AACGAACGCUGGCGGCAGGCUUAACACAUGCAAGUCGAACGCAUGCCUUCGGGCAUGAGUGGCAGACGGGUGAGUAACGCGUGGGAACCUACCCCUUGGUACGGGAUAGCUCCGGGAAACUGGAGAUAAUACCGUAUGUGUCCUGAGGGACAAAGAUUCAUCGCCAAGGGAUGGGCCCGCGUCGGAUUAGCUAGUUGGUGGGGUAACGGCCUACCAAGGCGACGAUCCGUAGCUGGUCUAAGAGGAUGAUCAGCCACAUUGGGACUGAGACACGGCCCAAACUCCUACGGGAGGCAGCAGUGGGGAAUAUUGGACAAUGGGCGCAAGCCUGAUCCAGCCAUGCCGCGUGAGUGAUGAAGGCCCUAGGGUUGUAAAGCUCUUUCACCGGUGACGAUAAUGACGGUAACCGGAGAAGAAGCCCCGGCUAACUUCGC
rnacentral:rRNA from 1 species